UUUAAAAGGUAGAUUUUCUUUUAUGGUUACGUGUUUGCUGGUUAAUCAUAAAGGAAAAUCCACGUUUUCAG
rfam:Fukomys damarensis contig147065, whole genome shotgun sequence.